rnacentral:lncRNA from 1 species
GAAUCUUUUUGGUACAAUGUGGCAACAGUCAGAGGUCAGAGACACCACCACUGAGGUUAACUCCACUUGGUGUCUUUCAGAUCUCAAAUGCUAAGCCCUGGACUCCCUCAGGCCCCAACACAGACACAGGUUGUGAGAACCACCUGCGCCAAGCCAGCCUCUUCCAUCAGUCAAAAGCUGUGAGAAGUGUAUCCAUUGCCACAAAGGUCAGGGCUCCUGCCAGCCACCAGUCAGAGGGGACUCCACUCGAGGUGCUGCCAAAAGGCAAUGCUCCUGCAAGUGCCACCCAGCACAGCAAUGCUGAUCAUGUCAAAGGACAAGACCUCCAGAAACAAGUCAAGGGGCCUGCAGAUGGUGCCAGCAGGCGGCAAAAGCCGCAGCCAGUCGCCCGCCUGGGGAGCCAGCCCAAGACUAAAUACAAGUCACCCAGGGAGCAGGAACUCUUUGUGGCCCCAAGGGAUUGCAAUUUCAAGACUGCUGGAAGUCAAGGAAGUGGAUGCAGGAGAAAUGUGCCUUAAAAUGUAUUUUGGCUUCUGUGUCGCGAUGCUGAAAAGCAGAGUGGAGGUGAGCAGGGAGGAGAAGAACCUUAUAUGCUGUAGAAUACUUUUUCUCUAUCCCUACUUCAAGUCUGUCCUCUGUACUGUGUGCUCUAGCUGUUAGCUUGAGUUUAAGACAAGUAGGGUGUUAAGAGAGCCCAAGAGAGGCUCUUUUUCCCAGCACUGUUUGCCUCCCAGAAGAUAUCAGCAUUGAGACCAAGUUGCCUUUUUUUUCCCAGGGCAAAGCUAUGGAUGCCACCCCUGCAUCCCAAAGGCUCCCUAACUAUUAAAAACAAAUGUAAAUGCCUGAGGAAUAGUUUGCCCAUUCUUCCCUGCUGUCCCUGUGUGUUGCUGUGAAGUUGGGAGGUGUGAUGCACGCCUGGAGUGCUGUUUGGGUGAGCAGAUGUUUGGCUGUGAGAUUGCUCUAAGCUCUCCUGUAUCUGCAGAGCAUUUCAGACCUGGCUGCAGCCAGAGAGGCAGUGUGGUGAUAAGUGAAGACCCUGAUAACAGCUACUAGCCUGGAGGUAAACUGUGGGAAUGUGGUUUUCUUUUUGGAACAAAAGUCUCCAGGCAGCAGCCUAUUCCAUAAGGGACUUAUUUAAUAUAAUGCAAAUAAAAUGGUUCUGGUCAUUGCA